ACAGAACUGAAUUUUGGGAGGAAGAAGUCAGAGUCAGAGAGAGCCACCCGCCAUGAAGCUGCCAGGUCAGACAUGCUAAAUCCUUCCCGUAUCCAAAUACAUGAUUGAUAAACUUCUGCUGUGUAUGAUGGAACCCAAUUGAAGUAGCAGCUCCCUUCUCUAUGAGAAGUGCUCGUUACAAAUGUAGGACUUUCAGCUUCUCCAAUACCACAUCUACCUGCAUGCUGCCAUGCUCCCCAUCAUGAUGAUAAUGAACUGGACCUCUGAAAUUGUAAGCAAGCCAGCCCAGGCAAACAGUCCUAGUCAUGGUGGGCGAGUCCAAUGAGGCGCCCGAAGAGCAGACGUUAGUCUUAACUUCCAAUGAAGCAAGUAGGUCAGCUGCCAGCUGCCAGCUGCCGGGUGAGCGUGCUCGCUCAGCGGCGUGACAUUUUACCUCGGGCUCAGCUUUGCUGCACAGGAAAAGAGAAGAAGACACGACGAGAUAGACAUUGUGAAACCUGCAAUGAUGAUGUGAUACUUUAAUUUGGUUAGCGUGUACGGCAGCAGAAGUCAGCCCAACUUUUGGCUGACACAGAUAUGGAGUGAUGCUCAAGUGCCCCCGAGCUUUCCCAUGAGCCGCCCGUUUUUGGUUUUAAUAAGGCUCCAUCUCUCGAGGUGCAUUGACGUUGGGAACCCCAAGUCAACGGGUAAAACCGCUGCAGCCUGUGCAGAGUUCUUCAAAGCCGACAAGAGUCUUGUGGGAGUUUCUCAGAUAGUUAACUGACUCUCAGUGGAGGAACCAAAGAAGCCAUCCUGAAAGAAGGAUUUGGCCAUGAAAGCACUGCAGGGAGAGAGGGGGGAAUGGUCAAAACAGGAAGAAACAAUGCUGAAGAGGAUAAAAAACAGGGUCCCGAUUAAGGGAGGCACAAGGACCCUCAGCACUGCCACAAGGGCCUGGGAAUAUGUCCUCCCUCACGCAAUGCGAAGACUGAGGAGGAAUAAAGCUGGACGGAACUCUGGAGGACCUGUGGCGUGGAGAGAAGACACACAGAGAAAGAACCCUCCUCUGUCUGAACCCUGAGUGGUCCAGAUGCUGAUAGAACAGGCAGAGAUCACGUUUCCAGGGACAGGAGAAGAGAAAUCUGUCCCAGGACAUCAGGGAGUUGCCAUAGAAAAAUAAAUCUUCUGGAAAGAAUCUGUGCAUUCCACAGCUUCCACCUUGGGCAAUGCGGAGCCCAUGAAGACCUAGGGCCAGCUUGGAAAACAGGAAGAGAGACUCAACAUCUUCAUUAGCACAAGAGAGCUGUUAUGAAGAGGUCUGUCUUUACACAAAGUUCGUAGUGUUUUAAUGUCAUUUUCACAUGAAUGUUUUUACUCGCUGAAACUUCAGAUCAUUCACUUCUAGGAAAAGUUCCAAAGGAGUCCAACAGGCCUGGGUCUGUCACCAAAUCAGCAUCAGAUAUCAGCAGUUAGGUUUUGUGAACUUCUAGUUUAUUGUUUUCUUCUUCUUCUUCCUCUUCUUCUUCUUCUUCUUCUUCUUCUUCUUCUUCUUCUUCUU